GAUGAACGCUGGCGGCGUGCCUAAUACAUGCAAGUCGAGCGAACGGACGAGAAGCUUGCUUCUCUGAUGUUAGCGGCGGACGGGUGAGUAACACGUGGAUAACCUACCUAUAAGACUGGGAUAACUUCGGGAAACCGGAGCUAAUACCGGAUAAUAUUUUGAACCGCAUGGUUCAAAAGUGAAAGACGGUCUUGCUGUCACUUAUAGAUGGAUCCGCGCUGCAUUAGCUAGUUGGUAAGGUAACGGCUUACCAAGGCAACGAUGCAUAGCCGACCUGAGAGGGUGAUCGGCCACACUGGAACUGAGACACGGUCCAGACUCCUACGGGAGGCAGCAGUAGGGAAUCUUCCGCAAUGGGCGAAAGCCUGACGGAGCAACGCCGCGUGAGUGAUGAAGGUCUUCGGAUCGUAAAACUCUGUUAUUAGGGAAGAACAUAUGUGUAAGUAACUGUGCACAUCUUGACGGUACCUAAUCAGAAAGCCACGGCUAACUACGUGCCAGCAGCCGCGGUAAUACGUAGGUGGCAAGCGUUAUCCGGAAUUAUUGGGCGUAAAGCGCGCGUAGGCGGUUUUUUAGUCUGAUGUGAAAGCCCACGGCUCAACCGUGGAGGGUCAUUGGAAACUGGAAAACUUGAGUGCAGAUUAGGAAAGUGGAAUUCCAUGUGUAGCGGUGAAAUGCGCAGAGAUAUGGAGGAACACCAGUGGCGAAGGCGAUUUUCUGGUCUGUAACUGACGCUGAUGUGCGAAAGCGUGGGGAUCAAACAGGAUUAGAUACCCUGGUAGUCCACGCCGUAAACGAUGAGUGCUAAGUGUUAGGGGGUUUCCGCCCCUUAGUGCUGCAGCUAACGCAUUAAGCACUCCGCCUGGGGAGUACGACCGCAAGGUUGAAACUCAAAGGAAUUGACGGGGACCCGCACAAGCGGUGGAGCAUGUGGUUUAAUUCGAAGCAACGCGAAGAACCUUACCAAAUCUUGACAUCCUUUGACAACUCUAGAGAUAGAGCUUUCCCCUUCGGGGGACAAAGUGACAGGUGGUGCAUGGUUGUCGUCAGCUCGUGUCGUGAGAUGUUGGGUUAAGUCCCGCAACGAGCGCAACCCUUAAGCUUAGUUGCCAUCAUUAAGUUGGGCACUCUAAGUUGACUGCCGGUGACAAACCGGAGGAAGGUGGGGAUGACGUCAAAUCAUCAUGCCCCUUAUGAUUUGGGCUGCACACGUGCUACAAUGGACAAUACAAAGGGCAGCGAAACCGUGAGGUCAAGCAAAUCCCAUAAAGUUGUUCUCAGUUCGGAUUGUAGUCUGCAACUCGACUACAUGAAGCUGGAAUCGCUAGUAAUCGUAGAUCAGCAUGCUACGGUGAAUACGUUCCCGGGUCU
rnacentral:rRNA from 1 species